GGCGCGGAAGCGGCGUCCGGGCAGCCAUGUCGCCUUUGUCUGCGGCUCGGGCGGCCCUGCGGGUCUACGCGGCGGGCGCGGCGGUGGUCCUGGCCCAGCUGCUGCGGCGCUGCCGCGGGGGCUUCGCGGAGCCAGUUUUGGCCCCACAACCUGGCCGUGUUGCUAUAGUGACUGGAGGCACGGAUGGAAUCGGCUACUCCACAGCGAAGCAUCUGGCGAGACUCGGCAUGCAUGUGAUCAUAGCUGGAAAUAACGCCGGCAAAGCCCACAAAGUUGUGAGACAAAUACAAGAAGAGACUUUGAAUGACAAAGUGGAGUUUUUUUACUGCGAUCUGGCAUCUCUGCAGUCCAUCCGGCAAUUUGUCCAGAAGUUCAAGAAGAAGAAAAUCCCUCUCCAUGUCCUGGUCAAUAACGCCGGGGUGAUGAUGGUCCCUCAGAGGAAAACCAGGGAUGGAUUUGAGGAGCACUUUGGGCUGAACUACCUGGGGCACUUCCUGCUCACCAACCUCCUCCUGGACACCAUGAAGGAGUCUGGAUCUCCGGGUUGCAGCGCAAGGGUGCUGACCGUCUCGUCGGCCACGCAUUACAUUGGGGAGCUGAACAUGGAUGACCUUCAGGGCAGUCACUGCUACUCUCCGCACGGCGCCUACGCCCAAAGCAAGCUGGCCCUUGUCCUGUUCACGUACCACAUGCAGAGGCUGCUGGCCGCCCAGGGGAGCCCCGUGACCGCCAACGUGGUCGACCCUGGGGUGGUCAACACAGACCUCUACAAACACGUCUUCUGGGGCACGCGUCUCAUCAAGAAGCUCUUCGGCUGGUGGUUUUUCAAGACUCCAGAUGAGGGAGCCUGGACAUCUGUCUAUGCAGCGGUCACCCCGGACCUGGAAGGAAUUGGCGGCCGCUACCUUUACAAUGAGAAAGAGACCAAGUCUCUCAAGAUCACGUAUGAUCUAGAUCUUCAAAGAGAACUGUGGGCCAGGAGUUGCCAGAUGACCGGCAUCACUGACAUGACCCAGGACACCUUCUCGGGGUAGUUGCCACGUCGGGGAAGACCUUGCCUUCAGUCCACCAAACACAGGAUGGAUGCAGUGGCACCGUGAAGGAAUUUAAGAAUCUGCUCUCCUUCUGGAAUGGAACAUGACUUAAUCGGAACUUAACAAAAUACAAAGGAAUGUCAUUGCUCUGGUUUGGGAUAUUUGAGAAUGCCUGUGAUAGAUUCUCUUUUAGUGACAGAGUUCUCUGUCUUUUCUUGGCCAAGGUGGUAAACCCUAAACAAAUCUUCUCAAUAAAAAUGCUGAUAAUCUCCCUGAAGUUCUAGUUAAGUUGAUGGGUUUUGGUUGCCCACUGGGGAAGCAUCUGAAAAUGAUUGUUGCUCAUCCCCACCCUCAGUAGCAUUCCAGAGUUAAUUCCUCUGGACAUCAGCAUCUCUGUAGAGCUUCUCAAGCCAUCCUCUUGUUCAACCAAGUUCAAGACCCAACCUGAGCCAGACAUAUUGAGAUUGCAACUUCCAGCCCUGAGUGCUGGCACUUCCUCGGACUGUUCAGAUGUUCCACUAAAGCUCUAGAGCCCAGACUAAUGUCUUUUAGAACUAGAAUCAUAAUCAAGAUGUGCCUCAUCUGAUUUUCUGAACAGUCAGGACUCUGCACUAAAAAGCAGAAUCUUGAAUUCUGGAAGAUGCCAACCUGGGAGCAUUUCUAUGUCAUCAAAGACCAUACUACAGCUUGAAGCUAUCAUACAUAAGUGCCAGCAACUGUUAUCAUUAUGAUGAAGGUACUUUCCAAGUAGAGGCUCAGGACAGUGUGGUAGGAUAGCUCCUGGCCAGGCUGACAUCCUCCAUCACUGAGAAAACAAGCAGGCCAGGAUUUGACAGAUGCCGCUAAUCCCCAAACUGAGAAGACGCACUCCAAGAACAAUUUGAACCUUGUAGGACCCUGGCCUCAGAUUGUUCCUCCUUGUUAAAUGACAGCCCUUAAGCUGCUGUUCCUCUCCGGGAGAGAAAGAGAGGGAAAAAAAUAAAAAACAAAAACAAACAAACAAACAAAAGCACAUCGUUCUGGAGAAGUUAGCAGGCACCCUCGACAUGUGAUUGUAAAUUCCUUGGUGCUUGGAGACACUUCCCAGCAGCUGGAGAAAUCAUGUGGAUCUCUGGGCAAGGAGCUACUGCCUUAAUACAAGAUUAUCCUUAGUUGGAUUGUUCACCAUUUGCUGAAGCGCAGAUGGCAUUUGCAUUACAAACCGCAGCAUGCCUGCAGCAGCCUCUGUUUACAGCUGGCACCUUCUUGGGAAUCUGACAUGCAGAGGCAAGCAUCUUAGUCCUUCAUCAUCUGCAAGCAUUGACAUGUUCAAAUGCCUAUCAUUUUAUUAUAAAUUGCAUUACAUGGACAUGAUGUGGCUACUAUUAAUUUGUCCAUAGGUGUAAGUAUCUAUGAUUUCAUUUUAAGAUAGUGGGAGCACAUUAAAAAUGCAUUAGCAGGGUGCCUGGCUGGCUCCGUCGGUAGACCAUGUAGCUCUUGAUCUCAGGGUUGUGAGUUUGAGCCCUAGGUUGGGCAUGAAGCCUACUUAAAAAAAUGCAUUAGCAUACAUCCCUACAACAGAUUGUUAUUUGACCAUGAAAAAGGAAUGGACUACCCAUACACACACCAUGGACCAGCCUCAAAAACAUCGUGACUGAAAGAAGCCAAGAACAAAAGGACCACAUGGUAUAUGAUGCCAUUUCUAUGAAAUAUGCAGAACAGUUAAAUCCAUAGACACAGAAAGAUUAAUAAUUCCCGAGGGCUCAGGAGAGGGAUGGAACUUGACUGCUAAUGGGGACAGAGUCUCCUUUUUGGAGGAUGAGAAUGUUCUGGAACCAGGUAGAAGUGGUGGUUGCACAGCACGGUGAAUGUGCUGAAUGCAUCUGAAUGUACAUUUUAAACGGUUAAUUGAAUCCCAGAUCAAUAAAAUAUUUGCUAUGAAGAGCAUGCAAAGCACCUCGAAGGAAAACUAUGCUUUUCUUUUUGGGCACACACUGGGUGCCCACAUGCAUUGCUUUGAAUUGCACCAAACUGCCCGAUGCAACAGAGUGAGUUUUGCUGACUAUCCACUUUUCUUUUCUCCAAAUGCACAGAAUGCUUCAGGAAUCACCCCCUUCAGGGCAGCUCUUCUGAGCCAUGAAUUCCAAUGGGGUGAGAAGCCCAUGUUUUCGGAGACAUCUAGAAUGUGAGGUGAUUGCAACAUUGGCCUAGCAUGAUUACCAAUUCUCACAAACUAGAGAGAUCGUCCUGUGUUUCCCAGAAUAGCGAUUACACCCAACUCCGAGAAUAGGGAUUAUGCCCAACUCCCGUUUGCUUAAACUAAGAGCUUGACAUAGGUGCGGGAGCAGCCCCCCGGUGGGCUGUUUGGUUGGUAUGUCUUGUCAUAGAGACCCAACAAGCCUCGAGGUAAUUUGAUUUUUGGUUCCAUCU